rnacentral:tRNA from 1 species
AAUUAUAUAGUUUAUAAUAAAACUUUAUAAUUUCAUUAUAAUAAUAAUCUUUUUUAGAUUUAUAAUUU